AAUAAAAUAAAAUUCUAUUUGAUACAUGCAAAAAGUGGAAAAUAUGGAUAAAAUUUUCAAGUUUGUUAAUGUUAUGAUCAUCAUUUUUUUCCUAUUUCUUGCUUCAACGCGAGCUUCAUAUGCCAACAUUCCAUGUAAAACUGAUCGUGAUUGUCCAGUAGUUUCCAUCAACCAGUUCAAGAAUUCAAAACCUAUAAGAAUGAGGUGUCGUAAUGGUUUUUGUAUUGUGAUAAGACAUUAAAUGAAUUUUUUUAUAGUUUUUUUAAUUUCACGUACUUUUGUAAGAUGAUGUAAGUGAAAUGAAAUAAAGCAUAAAAAUUAUUAUUUACAGGUUCUUCUUCUAUAUGUUUUACUUGACCUCCUUACUAAGGUGUUAAAGGGGCAAAUUAACACAUUGUUGUACUUAAGAGACAUUUAAUAAUUAUAAAAAAAUUGAAAGUUUUUUUACAACUCUGUAAGUAUUGAAAACUAUUGAAUUGAUUGAAGGAGAACAUGAGCUUUAUAAAUAAAUCAAAAAGUGAUAAAAUAAAAUUCUAUUUGAUACAUGUAAAAAGUGAAAAACAUGGAUAAAAUUUUCAAGUUUGUUAAUGUUAUGAUAAUCAUUUUUUCCCUAUUUCUUGCUUCAACACCAGUUUCACAUGCUGUCAUUCCAUGUAAAACUUAUUAUGAUUGUCCGCUAGCUAAAAUCGGCCGGUACAAGCGUUUAAGAAGAAUGACGUGCCGUAAAGGUGUUUGUAUAAAUAUAUAACAAUAAUUAUAAAGCUCCAAAGAUUAUAUAAUUGUCAUAUCCAAAAGAAUACACAAAUGCACAACAAGAAUACUCUAUCAAUUGCAGAGAGUUUGUUAACAAUAGUAAUCCAUAUAUUACAAGUUAAUCGAUAUAUUCAUUUUUAUUUUGAUAAAAAUAAUGGAUACUUGAUUUUAAUUUAUAUGUUUUUGUACUUAAUCCCAAUUGGUAAUCUCCCAUCGAUAACAACGAAUCAUACCUUCAAU